rnacentral:tRNA from 1 species
UAAGUCUUUGUAGUACACUUAAUACACUGGUCUUGUAAACCAGAAAAGGAGAAUAAUUAAUCUCCCUAAGA